rnacentral:rRNA from 1 species
UACGUAGGGGGCAAGCGUUGUCCGGAUUUAUUGGGCGUAAAGAGCGUGUAGGCGGCCAGACAGGUCCGUUGUGAAAACUCGAGGCUCAACCUCGAGACGUCGAUGGAAACCGUCUGGCUAGAGUCCGGAAGAGGUGAGUGGAAUUCCGAGUGUAGAGGUGAAAUUCGUAGAUAUUCGGAGGAACACCAGUGGCGAAGGCGGCUCACUGGUCCAUUACUGACGCUGAGGUGCGAAAGCGUGGGGAGCAAACAGG